rnacentral:rRNA from 1 species
AUAAGCGCCGGUAAGGUGAUAUGAACCGUUAUAACCGGCGAUACCCGAAUGGGGAAACCCAGUGUGAUUCGUCACACUAUCAUUAACUGAAUCCAUAGGUUAAUGAGGCGAACCGGGGGAACUGAAACAUCUAAGUACCCCGAGGAAAAGAAAUCAACCGAGAUUCCCCCAGUAGCGGCGAGCGAACGGGGAGGAGCCCAGAGCCUGAAUCAGCAUGUGUGUUAGUGGAAGCGUCUGGAAAGGCGCGCGAUACAGGGUGACAGCCCCGUACACAAAAGCGCAUGUGCUGUGAGCUCGAUGAGUAGGGCGGGACACGUGGUAUCCUGUCUGAAUAUGGGGGGACCAUCCUCCAAGGCUAAAUACUCCUGACUGACCGAUAGUGAACCAGUACCGUGAGGGAAAGGCGAAAAGAACCCCGGCGAGGGGAGUGAAAAAGAACCUGAAACCGUGUACGUACAAGCAGUGGGAGCACCCUUUGGGUGUGACUGCGUACCUUUUGUAUAAUGGGUCAGCGACUUAUAUUCUGUAGCAAGGUUAACCGAAUAGGGGAGCCGGAGGGAAACCGAGUCUUAACCGGGCGUUAAGUUGCAGGGUAUAGACCCGAAACCCGGUGAUCUAGCCAUGGGCAGGUUGAAGGUUGGGUAACACUAACUGGAGGACCGAACCGACUAAUGUUGAAAAAUUAGCGGAUGACCUGUGGCUGGGGGUGAAAGGCCAAUCAAACCGGGAGAUAGCUGGUUCUCCCCGAAAGCUAUUUAGGUAGCGCCUCGUGAAUUCAUCUCCGGGGGUAGAGCACUGUUUCGGCUAGGGGGCCAUCCCGGCUUACCAACCCGAUGCAAACUGCGAAUACCGGAGAAUGUUAUCACGGGAGACACACGGCGGGUGCUAACGUCCGUCGUGAAGAGGGAAACAACCCAGACCGCCAGCUAAGGUCCCAAAGUCAUGGUUAAGUGGGAAACGAUGUGGGAAGGCCCAGACAGCCAGGAUGUUGGCUUAGAAGCAGCCAUCAUUUAAAGAAAGCGUAAUAGCUCACUGGUCGAGUCGGCCUGCGCGGAAGAUGUAACGGGGCUAAACCAUGCACCGAAGCUGCGGCAGCGACACUGUGUGUUGUUGGGUAGGGGAGCGUUCUGUAAGCCUGUGAAGGUGUGUCGUGAGGCAUGCUGGAGGUAUCAGAAGUGCGAAUGCUGACAUAAGUAACGAUAAAGCGGGUGAAAAGCCCGCUCGCCGGAAGACCAAGGGUUCCUGUCCAACGUUAAUCGGGGCAGGGUGAGUCGACCCCUAAGGCGAGGCCGAAAGGCGUAGUCGAUGGGAAACGGGUUAAUAUUCCCGUACUUGGUGUUACUGCGAAGGGGGGACGGAGAAGGCUAUGUUGGCCGGG